rnacentral:tmRNA from 16 species
GCUAUUGCCUUUAUGGCUGUCCGACCUUAGCUAGAGAGCGUCACUUCGGUGACUACGAUGGUAGACUGUUAAGUGAAAUAGACUCGACGGACCCGGAGGGCAGUACUCCGGCGCCUCCACCAACAGCCGCGGAUAGCAAGCCACUGUUGUUGAUGGGGGCGAAACAGGAUCGACGUGUGUAGUAAAGACUUGAUUGCCAUCCGGCGUGAUUGAGCCGUUAAACCGAUCAUUUUUAUAAGUGCCAACGAUAACGAGGUACUCGCUGUUGCUGCGUAAUGGAAACCUUCACGGGUAGACAUUACUAAGUAAGAGCGCGGUUGGGCUGCACCGGGCAACAGAAGCAGAUUCC